UACGUAGGGUGCGAGCGUUUAAUCGGAAUUACUGGGCGUAAAGCGUGCGCAGGCGGUUUUGUAAGUCAGAUGUGAAAUCCCCGGGCUCAACCUGGGAACUGCGUUUGAAACUACAAGGCUAGAGUAUGGCAGAGGGGGGUAGAAUUCCACGUGUAGCAGUGAAAUGCGUAGAGAUGUGGAGGAACACCGAUGGCGAAGGCAGCCCCCUGGGCUAACACUGACGCUCAUGCACGAAAGCGUGGGGAGCAAACAGG
rnacentral:rRNA from 1 species